AUUGAACGCUGGCGGCAGGCCUAACACAUGCAAGUCGAACGAGUGGCGGACGGGUGAGUAAUGUCUGGGAAACUGCCUGACGGAGGGGGAUAACUACUGGAAACGGUAGCUAAUACCGCAUACCAUCAGAUGUGCCCAGAUGGGAUUAGCUAGUUGGUGGGGUAACGGCUCACCAAGGCCACGAUCCCUAGCUGGUCUGAGAGGGUGACCAGCCACACUGGAACGGAGACACGGUCCAGACUCCUACGGGAGGGAGCAGUGGGGAAUAUUGCACAAUGGGCGCAAGCCUGAUGGAGCCAUGCCGCGUGUAUGAAGAAGGCCUUCGGGUUGUAAAGUACUUGCAGCGGGGAGGCGUUACCCGCAGAAGAAGCACCGGCUAACUCCGUGCCAGCAGCCGCGGUAAUUC
rnacentral:rRNA from 1 species